AGUCCAUGGGAGCCUGGUUUGCAAUGCCAUGAAGCCAGUCACCCUCGUGGUGAUGUUGGUCUGGAAGCAGGGAAGUUAAGGGGGUUCAACCAGAGUUGGAACUUGCCUGGUGAGGAGAAUUAUCAAGGCCAACAGAAUUAUGAGAAGGAGAUGAUUUUGAGGUUCUGGAUAAACCUUGUCCAAGAAAAAACCUACUGUGGCAUUUUUACUCAGGAAGCUGCGGCCAAAUUUCUUGAGGCUUUCGUAGGUUAUGUCAUCU
rnacentral:lncRNA from 10 species